UUCCAAGUUUUCCUUCAGACCAGUCAAUCAUUGCUUGCUAUUAAUAAAUUUCAAGUUUCUCUCUUUCUUUUCUUUCUGUGGAAUCAUGGCAAAGAAGAGAGAGGAAAGAGAGACGGGUUUGUUUUUGGAUGGGGUAAUAGAGGCCAUGCCUGUGUUUGCAAAGGAGUUGGUUGCUGGGGGUGUCGCUGGUGGCCUUGCAAAGACUGUUGUUGCUCCCCUUGAACGUGUGAAGAUUUUGUUUCAGACCAGAAGAGAUGAAUUCAAGACUAUAGGACUGCUUGGAUCCAUUAAAAAGAUUGCAAAGACAGAAGGCAUUAUGGGUUUCUACAGAGGG
rnacentral:misc_RNA from 1 species